rnacentral:rRNA from 1 species
AACGAACGCUGGCGGCAUGCCUAACACAUGCAAGUCGAACGAGACCUUCGGGUCUAGUGGCGCACGGGUGCGUAACGCGUGGGAACCUGCCCUUAGGUUCGGAAUAACUCCCCGAAAGGGGUCUUAAUACCGGAUAAUGUCUUCGGACCAAAGAUUUCUCGCCUUUUGAUGGGCCCGCGUUGGAUUAGCUAGUUGGUAGGGUAAAAGCCUACCAAGGCGACGAUCCAUAGCUGGUCUGAGAGGAGGAUCAGCCACACUGGGACUGAGACACGGCCCAGACUCCUACGGGAGGCAGCAGUGGGGAAUAUUGGACAAUGGGCGAAAGCCUGAUCCAGCAAUGCCGCGUGAGUGAUGAAGGCCUUAGGGUUGUAAAGCUCUUUUACCCGGGAUGAUAAUGACAGUACCGGGAGAAUAAGCACCGGCUAACUCCGUG